GCAGCUCAGCAGGUAGAGCAUGAGACUCAUGCUCUCAGAGUUUGGGUUUGAGCCCCACAUUGGGCC